rnacentral:lncRNA from 1 species
AGCUCGAGCAACUGCUACGGUCGAGCAGAGAGGACGACAAAGAAGUGCGUUCGGUGGCGUUCUUUCCUUUCGGGACGGCUUCUGAAACCAGGGAACAGCGUUUUCUUUCAAUUGCCAGUCGUGGAGAGAAGAGAGUCGAGUUCCGUCGGGGAAGCAGCCAGACGAGCCGCUGAUCCAGCUCCACUCGAAUGAGUCGUUCCAAGGCGACAACAGGAAGCGGCCGCCGACCGAAGCGAUAUUAACUGACGUUUGGGCGCCCACGCGGGAGCCUUGCUCACGGGAGUCGUGUCAGUCAAUGUAGAACCAGGGACUUCUACCACGUCAAGCACACGCUCCGAAGAUUG